rnacentral:rRNA from 1 species
AUGUUCGCGAAGCGCUUCCUGCAGAAGAAGCUGCACCAGGGAGGAGGGGGAGAAAAAGGAGGAGGCGGUGGAGGAGGAGGAGGGGCGGCCGGCGAUGUGGCCCAGCUGGACGCGCAGAUCGCGCUCCACUACGGCGUCCCCUACGCCGCCUCCGUCAUGGCGUUCGACCCCGUGCAGCGGCUCCUCGCCGUCGGGACGCUGGAUGGGAGGAUAAAAAUCUUUGGAGGUGAUAAUAUCGAAGGCAUCCUCAUAUCGCCAAAGAGUAUGCCAUACAAGUAUCUUCAGUUUAUACAAAACCAGGGGCUACUAAUUGCAGUUUCUAAUGAGAAUGAAAUCCAGGUGUGGAAUCUUGAAUUCAGGCAGCUAUUUCAUUCUUCCCAGUGGGACACCAAUAUAACUGCUUUUUCAGUCAUAGAGGGGACCUUUCUGAUGUACCUUGGAGAUGAGAAUGGUCUGCUUUCUGUAUUAAAGUAUGAUGUAUAUGAUGGGAAGCUUCAAAAGAUGCCUUACAAUGUUUCUAUACAUUCCUUAGCUGAAGCAGCUGGUGUUCCGUUGCUUGAUACUCAACCUAUCGUUGGAAUACUGCCUCAACCUAACACCUUGGGCACCAGGGUGCUAAUUGCAUACGAGAAAGGAUUCUUAGUUCUUUGGGAUGUGUCAGAGGACCAUGCAGUUGCUGUUCGCGGCUACGGGGAUUUGCAUAUGAAGGGUCAAAUCACUGGCGCUCAAACACAUGCCAGUGAAGAUCAAAUAGAUAAUGUUGACGAGAAUGAGGAAGAGAGAGAAAUUUGCUCUCUUUGUUGGGCAUCGAGAGGGGGUUCAACUGUUGCUGUUGGCUAUAUAACUGGAGACAUACUUCUAUGGGAUAUGACUGCAGUAUCCUCUAGACAAGGCAAACAAACUGAUGUUUCGUCUAACGUUGUUAAGCUGCAGCUGGCUUCUGGGAGUCGCAGGCUUCCUGUUAUUGUCUUGCACUGGUCUGCUGGGUCAGCAAAAGACACCACUAAAGGUGGGAAACUUUUUGUAUACGGUGGCGAUGAUAUGGGGUCUGAAGAAGUUCUGACGGUUCUUAGUCUGGAAUCAUCUAAUGGAUUAGAGUCAGUAAGAUGUGCGUCGCGGGUGGACCUCAAACUUGAUGGAUCCUUUGCUGAUAUGAUUCUUAUUCCAGAUACUGGGGUUCCAGAUAAAACACAAACUUCUGCACUUUUUAUAUUGACAAAUCCUGGACAGUUAAAUUUCUAUGAUGGUGGUGCUCUAUUUUCUGCACGGAAAUCAGAAGAGGAAUAUGCUCAGCCUGAGGCACAGAAAUUUCCAGUCGUAGUUCCAACAAUUGAUCCCAGCAUAACAGUUACGAAUAUGUAUUCACUAACUGGGAGAGAGCAUCCAAGUAUUUCACUGAAGAAAUUUUGUGCUAGGCAAAUUGUCGCACCUCCAAUAUCAGGGAAUAUGAAAUGGCCUUUGACUGGUGGGGUUCCUAGUGAAAUGUCACUGAAGGAAGAUCAUGCAGUUGAAAGAAUAUAUGUUGCAGGCUAUCAAGAUGGUUCUGUGAGAAUAUGGGAUGCAACUUUUCCUAUUCUGAUGCCAAUGUUUGUCUUGGAUGCAAAGGUGCCUGAUGUUAUUUUGGAUGGAGCAAAUGCCUCUGUAUCAUCGCUGGCUUUUUGUUCAUUAAACAUGACUUUUGCUGUUGGCACAACAAGUGGUCUGGUCCGCAUGUAUAAACUUCAAGAGAACAGUGGGGAUUCCAGCUUUCACUUUGUGAGUGGAUCUAAGCAGGAAGUUCAUGCUGUUCAUCAUGGGAGAGGAUUCCAUUGCCAUGUUGCCUUUAUGGCAUCAAAUUCCCCCGUGCGUUCUCUCAGAUUUACAUCUUCAGGAGAGGCCCUUGCAGUAGGGUAUCAAAAUGGCCAGGUGGCAAUGUUUGAUGCGAGUCAACUGUCCGUGAUAUUCUCUGUGGAUUGUACAUCAGGAACAAAUUCUCCUGUGGUUUCAGUAAGCAUCUACAGUGUAGGUGCAUCUGCUGCAAAAGCAGGCCCGUCCCAGAAAGAGAUUGCUACAAAUGCAAAAUUUCCAACAGAUGUUGUACUUUCCUUAAGUAAGGAUGCACGUCUUACUGUAGUUGACAGCACAAGUGGUCUGAUCAUAAAUUCACUUCUGCUAGAUGAGAAGCAAUGUUCUGCACUUUUGAUGUAUGUCCUCAUAGAUGGUGCUUCAGAUGAAGAGCAAGCCCAAUUACCAGAAGACAAGCUCCCAUGUCAAAGUCAGACAGGGAAAGAACAUGUUCUCGACCAAAAGCAAGUACAAGGAGCUGAAACUAACAAGAAAAGUGCUUCUCUACAUCCACAGAGUGGCGGUUCAGAUUCACUUCUUUUGGUCUGCUUCGAGGAUGUGGUGCUUUUAUUUUCUCUGGCAUCAUUGAUUCAGGGAAGCAACAAGCAUCUACAUAAAACCAAGCUCACAAAAAAAUGCUGCUGGUCAGCAAUUUUUAAGAAUAAGGAUGAUAAAGCUUGUGGGUUGAUAUUAUUUUAUCAGACAGGCAUCAUAGAAUUGAGAUCUUUGCCAAGCCUAGAUAUUCUCGCUGAGAGCUCCUUGAUGGAAUUACUAAGAUGGAGUUACAAGACUGGCAUGGAUAAAACCAUGAGCUCCUCAAAUGGACAAAUUGCUCUGGUUAAUGGAUCUGAAUUUGCAAUCAUCUCUCUUAUAGCCUCAGAGAAUGACUUCAGGAUUCCAGAAUCAUUGCCAUGCCUUCAUGAUAAGGUACUUGCAGCAGCAGCUGAAGCAGCUAUGAGCAUCUCGACAGACCAGAAAGGAAAGCAGAAUCCAGCGGCAGGAGUUAUUGGUGGCAUUAUAAAAGGAUUAAAAGGCAAAGCGGAUGAAAAUGCAAACCUGAGAAAAAGUUUCAAUUCCCAAACCCCCAGUGAACUAUUGGAGUCGAUUUUCUUGAAAGGACCAUAUGUUGAACCAUCACUAGCUUAUCCUGAUGAUCCAAUAGAAGAACUGUCAAUUGAUGACAUAGAAAUUGAUGAUGAAGUGCCCCUAUCUCCUCCGCCAGCAUCAUCCUCUGCUUCCCACAUGAAUAAGAAAGCAACAGUAGAGGACGAGAGAGCGAAACUGUUUGAAGGAUCAAGUGAUGCUGACAAACCAAGAAUGAGAAGUACCCAAGAAAUUCUCACCAAAUAUAAGUUUGGCGGGGAUGCAACAGCAGCAGCUGCCCAUGCGAAGGAUAAGCUCAUGCAGCGGCAGGAGAAACUCGAGAGAAUAAGCCAGCGGACCGCAGAGCUUCAAGACGGGGCGGAAAAUUUCGCUUCACUUGCCCAGGAGCUCGCGAAAACAAUGGAGAACAAGAAGUGGUGGAAACUGUAA